AAAUUUUAGAGAGUUUGAUCCUGGCUCAGGACGAACGCUGGCGGCGUGCCUAACACAUGCAAGUCGAACGGAACUUCUUUAAUUGAUUUCUUCGGAAUGAUUUUGAUUAAGUUUAGUGGCGGACGGGUGAGUAACGCGUGAGUAACCUGCCUCUGAGAGGGGAAUAACAUUCUGAAAAGAAUGCUAAUACCGCAUAAUAUAUAUUUAUCGCAUGGUAGAUAUAUCAAAGAUUUAUCGCUUAGAGAUGGACUCGCGUCCGAUUAGUUAGUUGGUGAGGUAACGGCUCACCAAGACCGCGAUCGGUAGCCGGACUGAGAGGUUGAACGGCCACAUUGGGACUGAGACACGGCCCAGACUCCUACGGGAGGCAGCAGUGGGGGAUAUUGCGCAAUGGGGGAAACCCUGACGCAGCAACGCCGCGUGAGGAUGAAGGUCUUCGGAUUGUAAACUUCUUUUAUUAAGGAC
rnacentral:rRNA from 1 species